GAUGAACGCUGGCGGCGUGCCUAAUACAUGCAAGUCGAGCGAACGGACGAGAAGCUUGCUUUUCUGAUGUUAGCGGCGGACGGGUGAGUAACACGUGGAUAACCUACCUAUAAGACUGGGAUAACUUCGGGAAACCGGAGCUAAUACCGGAUAAUAUUUUGAACCGCAUGGUUCAAAAGUGAAAGACGGUCUUGCUGUCACUUAUAGAUGGAUCCGCGCUGCAUUAGCUAGUUGGUAAGGUAACGGCUUACCAAGGCAACGAUGCAUAGCCGACCUGAGAGGGUGAUCAGCCACACUGGAACUGAGACACGGUCCAGACUCCUACGGGAGGCAGCAGUAGGGAAUCUUCCGCAAUGGGCGAAAGCCUGACGGAGCAACGCCGCGUGAGUGAUGAAGGUCUUCGGAUCGUAAAACGCUGUUAUUAGGGAAGAACAUAUGUGUAAGUAACUGUGCACAUCUUGACGGUACCUAAUCAGAAAGCCACGGCUAACUACGUG
rnacentral:rRNA from 1 species